GCGGUCGUGGUGGACUCGGCGGACACAUCGGUCUUCCAAACCGAAAAAACGGGUUCGAUGCCUGCCGGCCGCUCAA
rnacentral:tRNA from 1 species